rnacentral:rRNA from 1 species
GAACACACGUCUGCCAUGGAACGGAUAUUGGGCGUAAGAGCUCGUAGGCGGUUUGUCGCGUCUGCUGUGAAAGACCGGGGCUCAACUCCGGUUCUGCAGUGGGUACGGGCAGACUAGAGUGCAGUAGGGGAGACUGGAAUUCCUGGUGUAGCGGUGAAAUGCGCAGAUAUCAGGAGGAACACCGAUGGCGAAGGCAGGUCUCUGGGCUGUAACUGACGCUGAGGAGCGAAAGCAUGGGGAGCGAACAGGAUUAGAUACCCUGGUAGUCCAUGCCGUAAACGUUGGGCACUAGGUGUGGGGGACAUUCCACGUUUUCCGCGCCGUAGCUAACGCAUUAAGUGCCCCGCCUGGGGAGUACGGCCGCAAGGCUAAAACUCAAAGGAAUUGACGGGGGCCCGCACAAGCGGCGGAGCAUGCGGAUUAAUUCGAUGCAACGCGAAGAACCUUACCAAGGCUUGACAUGAACCGGUAAUACCUGGAAACAGGUGCCCCGCUUGCGGUCGGUUUACAGGUGGUGCAUGGUUGUCGUCAGCUCGUGUCGUGAGAUGUUGGGUUAAGUCCCGCAACGAGCGCAACCCUCGUUCUAUGUUGCCAGCGCGUUAUGGCGGGGACUCAUAGGAGACUGCCGGGGUCAACUCGGAGGAAGGUGGGGACGACGUCAAAUCAUCAUGCCCCUUAUGUCUUGGGCUUCACGCAUGCUACAAUGGCCGGUACAAAGGGUUGCGAUACUGUGAGGUGGAGCUAAUCCCAAAAAGCCGGUCUCAGUUCGGAUUGGGGUCUGCAACUCGACCCCAUGAAGUCGGAGUCGCUAGUAAUCGCAGAUCAGCAACGCUGCGGUGAAUACGUUCCCGGGCCUUGUACACACCGCCCGUCAAGUCACGAAAGUUGGUAACACCCGAAGCCGGUGGCCUAACCCUUGUGGGGGGGAGCCGUCGAAGUUGGGAUCGGCGAUUGGGACUAAGUCGUAACAAAGGUAUCCCA